GACGAACCGUGCGAACGUUAUUCGGAAUCACUGGGCUUAAAGCGCGUGUAGGCGGGACGGCACGUCUGUCGCUGAAAUCCCCCGGCUUAACCGGGGAACUGGCGGAGAUACGACCUCCUGGAGGGCGUAGGGGGACCUGGAACUUCCGGUGGAGCGGUGAAAUGCGUUGAGAUCGGAAGGAACGCCCGUGGCGAAAGCGAGGUCCUGGACGCCUACUGACGCUGAGACGCGAAAGCCAGGGGAGCGAACGGG
rnacentral:rRNA from 1 species